rnacentral:tRNA from 1 species
GGAUUGUGGCUCAAGUGGUAGCGCACUCGCCUUGCAUGCGUGAGGCACUGGGUUUGAUCCUCAGCACCA